rnacentral:rRNA from 1 species
UGUAGGCUGCAACUCGCCUACAUGAAGCUGGAAUUGCUAGUAAUCAUAGGUCAGCAUACUAUGGUGAAUACGUUCCCGGGCCUUGUACACACCGCCCGUCACACCAUGAGAGUUGAGAAUACCCGAAGUCCAUGUUAAAGUGGCCGAAGGUAGGCUUGAUGAUUGGGGUGAAGUCGUAACAAGGUAUC